rnacentral:rRNA from 1 species
UACGGAGGAUGCAAGCGUUAUCCGGAUUUAUUGGGUUUAAAGGGUGCGCAGGUUGUUUGAUAAGUCAGUGGUGAAAGUCUGUCGCUUAACGGUAGGAUUGCCAUUGAUACUGUUAGACUUGAAUAUGGAUGAGGUAGGCGGAAUGUGUAGUGUAGCGGUGAAAUGCAUAGAUAUUACACAGAACACCGAUUGCGAAGGCAGCUUACUAAUCCAUCAUUGACGCUGAGGCACGAAAGCGUGGAGAUCAAA